UGCGCUGAAUCCCGGAAGGGGCGCGGGGAAGUGGUCACAGGUGAUUGUCAUGUGUGAUAAUUAUUAUUACUGUACACCUGCUCCUCCGCACUAAUUAACUUUGGAUAUGCAAAUCAAUCCUAUUGCAUCAUGCCCCUGCUCUCCUCCCCUACAGAUAAGAAGAUGUUCAGCUGCUGGAUUUAAUUAGGAUAAUGAACGCCAGGCCCACGGUGGCUUGGCAGGGGAGGUGGGGGGGAAGCUGUGACUGACCUUUUCUCCCAAAACGUUGACAUUUUCUAAGGCUUCUGAACACUCGAAGUCACCUCCAUGGCUGGGACAUUGAUAGGAGCGGAUUGAUGAGGUGUCAUUAGAGGAGAGACGCCAUGGCCCCAGUGUUUGCUGGGAGAAUACAGCAGGUGUUCUGACAAGGACACACACCAUCACUGCUAUUUGGCAAACAAUUCUCUUGAUUCACUAAAGUCAAGCAUGCCAGCAUUUCUUUAUAAAAGAAAACAAGGCUGUUUUUCAUAACCACCCAAAGGAGAGGUCAUCACUAAAUUGCAUUUCUGAAUUACUUUUCAUUUCGCAUCAAUAUAUUAAAAAGGUUUCUAUUAUUCCUCUCCCCUCACAUCCUCCUUCCCUCUGCACCCUUCCUAUCCCCCUCUACCCCGCCCUGCCUAGAUUUCCCGUGGCAUGUAAGCUGAAAACACUACGUGAGGGUGGAGGCAGCAUGGAUUGAACACAGAGGCGAAGCCCCAGGCUCUCAACGUGGUUUAGCUCUGAACAUACUACGUGGCCUCUUACGAAUCACUUCACCUUGCCUUUGAAUCUCCAAUUUCUCAUCCAUAAGGUGACGCCAACACUCCUGAUCCACAGACUACACUCUGAGUAGAAAAGAACUGGAUAAAUCCUUGGACAAACGCUGCAUAAUUUGGGGUUUCUAUGACAGUAUUCAUGAAAAAGCAUGUCGUGAUGGCCCCAAACAGGGACCCAGCACAACCACACACAUGGGUAGAGUACUUUAUGGGCAGUGGUGUGUUCCCAGCCUUUUAGUCACCAGAGCAUUUCUGAGAGGAACCGACACUCAGAAGAGUUGAAUCACUGUCUCGAGUCCUAUUGCCAGAGUGUGGAAAACCCAGGAUGGAGCACAGAGCCUUGUCUCCAACCAGCUGUGUUCACACACCACCGUGUCUUCCGUGGUCGCUUUUGUGUCCAAAAGGCCCCAAAAUGCGUGAAGCCAAAGAAAACCUGACAACCGAAUAUAGCCACGUAUUUAUGUAUUUCUUUAAAGUCACCUAAAUAUUGAUAAAAUCUAGUGGUUACCUGUUAGAGCCGAUUGAAGAUGUCUAUUUUCUUUCACAACUUUCCAUUUUUUUCUCUGCUGCAUCCUAUUCAUCAAGUACAGAAAAGUCUCUCAGGCCAGCAUGUACAUUUCCAGUUUCAAUUGCUACCGUACACGAGUUCUAGAUCUUAAAGGCCAAAAAGCAUCUAUUUGACUAAAGAGCUAUAAGGCAGCCAUAAAAAUUAUGGAUCACAGAAAUAAGCAAUUAGUGUUAUCUUCAAUUGCUUUAUUGGCAGUAUUCACUCGUUAGAAUAGAGGCAGCCGUAAAACAGAUUGCAACAUACUGUAUAACAGCAUAUGGGAUUUUACAUUAUAAUGCUAUUCUCUGCCAAGAAGUCAUAUUUUCAUUUGAAUGCAUGGAACAGAUUAUCACAGGGUUUCCCGCAUUAGAAGUGGAUGACCCUCACUUUUUUUUUUUUUUUUGGAGUUGUUAAAAGGCAAUUCCUGAGGUUAUGACUAAAUCAGAAUAAGCACGAUAGUGAACAGGCCUGUUACAUGCCUGCAUUCUGGGCCACUGGAAACUGGGCAUGGAUGGCAUGGAACUAUAGCAGAUAAUAAAGUCAAUCUCUAACGUGGUGGAUCGAGGGAGAAGUUGAAGGUUUGCCAGUCUUCCAAACCAGCUGGCGCCAAUUCUGGAGGAAGCUGCUCACGCGCCCAUCUCAUCACAGCUGAAGUGCCACAAAAGACACCACGAGCACAGGGGAUGGAAAUAAAACAAUAGGAAUAAUAAUACGAAAUAGAACAGGAUCUUUAGUUAACAUUGGGAGAAGUUUUCCAGACAUCAACUCUGCUGUUUUACAAAAUGUGUGUGAACAUGUUUAGAUAUGGCAGAUAAUAUAUGCAUAGACCUUCCAAUCCAUACACCCUGGAGCAUGUUUCAACAGGCCAAGCUCUCAGGAAUCAUCCACAGGUCUAGAGCUUAAGAGUUUCCCCAUCCCUUCGCGUGUUACAUAAGUUCCAAUAUGGCACACCUGGAAAUACAGCCAAAUGCCCACUCUCCUGUUUCAAGUUGGAAAAGGAGUAGGGAAAAGUACAUCGAACAGAUUCUCUUUCCAAGAUCAGCCUGGGAUAUAGCAAAUGAAAGGCUUUGAAAGGCAGGAUUGCUGAAAAGGAAGCUUGUGUGGUUUCAAAUUAGAAGUCAUAUUGUUGCACUCACAGUUGAUCAAAUAAAUAUUAAUCACCAAAUGUAUUUAUGUCACUUCUCACGCAAUUGCAAUAUAUUUCAAAUGUGUUUUUAAAUGGUGGAUAAAACACACUGGGAGGGCAAAAAAAAUAA